rnacentral:lncRNA from 1 species
CCCACCGCCGUUGCCAUGGCGGCGGCGCGGUCUGCUCGGAGCGGGCCGGGACGCCGCGCCCUGUGACCCCUCCCGGAGGCAGAGGAUGGCUGAGGUUGGAAAGCGCCUCCGGAGGUCAUGGAAUCCGCCCUCCUGCUCCCCUAGAGCGCGCUGUCCGGCACUGUGUCCAGGGAAGGAGAUUCCGUGGCCCUCUGCCGUCCGCCCCACACUGAGGCCUGAAAGAUUCCCCUUCCCAAGUGGCGCUGCGCGCACACUUCUGCUUUGCGUCCUUCCAGUCAAAGCUGUGUGACCCCCUGGGCUGCCUGUGACGGCCCGCUGUUCGGCGUCCCCCAGCCUUCCACCGAUGGCCAAAAGGCUCGAGAAAGCAGGAGCGUGCCCUGCCUGGGAGGAAGCACCAGGUGUGCCACGUGUGGGACGGGGCCUGAGGGGACGGCGUGGAGCUGUGCCAGGGGAGGGCCGGGGGGUCAGGGAAAGGCUGUGAUUUUUUUGUGCUUUGAAACGUGAGAAAUAGCGGAAUACGUGCCAUAAUAUUUAACUCUUUAACAAAUUUUAAUCACAUUCAGAUAUUGAGAAUGAAAAGAAAGUGAAGCAUUCAGCUUUCCGAAGCAUUCAGCUCUGUGAAUAUACAUGAAUUAACCAGCACAGUGCAGGUAUAAUGGAAGGGCUUCCUGGUCAUUCUGGAGCAUCAGCAGCUGUACCUGGAUGUGAAUUGCACUGUGAUACAGAUAAGUUUUGCAUUAAUACUAUCCAUUUUUCAAUGUGUAAUGUUUUCAUAUUCAUACAAGUGAAGGGUUUAUGUUUUUGCUUGGUAUGUGUAACAGACACAUAUAACAGUUGCCUUAAAAACCUGUUGUUUGUCAAGAAAAAUUAGUUGAUCCGUUGAUCUGAAGUCACUCAUCUUGUUGAACCCAUUGCAAAGGGGCUCAGACUGAGGAAGCAGCUUCUGCCUCUUGCUGUACUGUUAGACUUGCUAGGUAAUUCUGGACACAUUGCUUAACCUUCCCAAAUCUGAGUUUAAUGAGCUGGAUAUGUACCACGCCAUAUGAUGCUUAUGCUCACGAAUAAAGCACUUGAGCUCUGUGAAUGAGAAGUGUUUCAGUUUGAGUUCUAAUCCUCCGUUCAUCAGUUGACAGAAUGCUUCCACUGUGUUUCCUUAUGUAGCGAGGUGUUCUCUGCUCUGAGAUAAACUUGCCUUUAUUUAGGAGACCUGAAGGAAAAACGAACAAACAAACAAAUGAUGCAUUUGCUAAUUUUUCUGAGAUUAAACAUUCAGUAGAACUCAACAAAUAUGUUUACUAGUUUAAUUGGAUUACAUUAAUAUACAUCCCCACAGCUUUUAUUACAUAAGCCCUUUUCUACCAGGGAUUUAGUCUAUUAGUUAAGGAAACCUGAGGGAUUAAUCUGAUAGCUGCAGUCAGAAAUUACAGUGUAAUUAAAGUCACCCAGGAAACAGUGAUACUGAAGUCUGCCAAUCCCUGCAAAACAAACUUGUCAAUUUUCUGCAUCUAGGAUAGCAUAUAAGGUGACACAUUAAAGGGGCACAAGUUCUGCACCAGAAAUAGGCCUGUUAAGGAGGAACUUGUGUACUGCACAGUGUAGCCAUCGCUGUUCUUGCUACCAACUACUGCUGUCUGUUUUUGAAUAGACUUUAAAGGUUUUGGUGUUUUAUUAAAGGUCAUGUACAGUGUGGGAGAGGAAGUAUAACACGGCUUGCACGGAAGUCUAUUUUAAAGCUUACUUUACUAAUUUAGUUGGACCGAGAUGUUACUUCAUGUCCAAAAGAAGAUAGAAAAUGCAAUGGCUGUAAAGAAGAAAGUUGCAGAGCACUGGAGCAGCCUUGUUAGUAGCAGGGAGAGACGUUUUGUCAUGGUCUGUACUUGUCAGUGUCAUUUGCUGCAAGCAGGGUAAUGGAGAGCAUGCAUCGGUGCAUGAGUGGAGGAGGAGAUCUGUUGUCUUCAUGAAUGGCAUCAAGGAACAGCACAGCAUUCCAGAAAUUCUGCAGAGUGUCAGUACUUGUGAUGUGUUUGAGCCAUUCUAAUAGCAUAAUAUACGCAGGAGAGAUUUAAUUUCACUAUAUCCAAAAUACACAGCAUUUGGUAUUUCUUUUGUUCUAUGAGACAUAAGUCUAAUGAUGCAUAUUCUAGUUAGUGCAACUUGCUAUCAAGGUUGUAAAGAAAUAAGCAACAAGAAGAAAAUAACGUAUGUAUUUUUUCUGUUGUCAGAGUAGACUUGUAUAUAUACUUCACAGCUUUGUCUUCUUGCUCUAAGUUGUAAAGUAACCUUCACAUAACAUUGUGUAAAUGGAAAAGUUCUCUGCCAGAAAGCUAAAGCCCAAUAUCUGUUGCUUGCAAAGCCACAGAGGGAACUACCCAUUGUUUCCUAGGAGGAGAUGGUGCAGCGACUUGCUGUGGCUUUAGCAAGAGGGCAAGGCUUUGUGAUAGAAGAUAAGCAAAGUAUGAUGACUUAAGUGGAGUGCUGAAGCUUUUACUGCAUCUGUCUUGUACAGUGUUGAAUAGAUUUUUAGGAACUUGCCAGUCAGGAGACCUGCCUUCGUGCUAAUGUGCAGACAUAGAGAAACUGCAUGAACAGAGGCAGGAAGCACUCAGAACAGAAAGGGAAAAUGAGCUACUGAUGCACACAGAGCUUUGCUUGGUAUAGCAGGCAAAGGAGGAUCCAGCAGGAACAGAAGAUAUCUCUUCUGUGCCUGAUCAGCCUGAGAAAAGUCCUUAACAAAACAAAGUGGCAGCCUGGAGAGUAUAAAACACAGGAAAUGAUGCAUUUCCAGUCCCACUUUUGCUUCUUUCUCAGCAGUCGCAGGGUGGGUGAGUAGGAGUUGCCUGUGCCAGCUCUGUGCAGCCUGGCAAAACUGGGGCCAGACCCGACGUUGUUGAGGCUGCUUCCACUUUUGUUUGUGAGGUGGAGGGAAGGACACCCUCUGUAAGUGUUGGUAUUAAUGCUUUUCUCUUAGUUAAUCUGUUUUGUUUGCUGCUGAGGCAUUUUACCUUCACCUCUAAAUUAUUUCAUUCUUCAUCAAAAUCCAAAGAAAACAGAGAUUCAAAGAAAGCACCCCUUAGAAUAGACUGAACGCUGAGUAUUAUUUGUAAGAUGUAUGAAACAGGAAACGGGAAGUUAGAAACAUUCAGGGAGUCGGUAUGCAUCCAAGUAGUCAAUGGUUCAGGGGGCAGAUAAACCAACACACCCCCACCCAGCACUGCAUGGCUACACCACCAGCAUUCAGGAAUUCUGACCUUUGCUAAAUCUUUAAUAUCUUUGGUUAUCAAACCCAAACUCGCUCACAUGCCAGAAGCAGUGUGGUACUGGGUAACCAUGUAGGUAAUUUUCAUGCUCAGAGAAGACAGCUCAUUUGUCAAACUGCGUCAGGUGAGAGUGCUCAGCAGGCCUGAAUUUCUGCAGAGAAAAAGGACCGGAUUCUCCUCCCUGUUGGCACCACCCAGUCUGAGUCAUACAGGCUGGAAGCAGUAGUACAGCUGCCAAACUUCCUCACCUAGAUCACGCUAUCUGCUAUAGGCUGCACUGGGAUUAUUGAGUGAGGUGUUUGGGUGUAGAAUUAAAAUACGUUGAGCACAGGAUUGUACUGUUGGGGAUUUUUCCACAAUGUUUCUUCUCCAGGAAAUGUUUUUCCUCUCUAGCAUUGCAGGGUAACAGUGUAAACGUUUGUUUUUGUUGGUUCAUUGCCAGACAAACGUAAGAACAUGUUGUAAAAGUCACAUUUUGCUGGAUUUCGUUUUAGAAUAGUAGAACUGUAGAAUGGCUUAAGUCAGAGGGAACCUUAAAGAUCAUCUAGCUUCAACUCCUCUGCCAUGGGCUGGCUGCCCCCACCAGCUCAGGGUGCCCAGGGCCCAUCCAACCCGGCCUUGGGCACCUCCAGGAAUGGGGCACCCACAGCUCUGGGCAGCAGUGCCAGGGCCUCACCAUCCCCUAAGCAAAGAAUUUCUUUGUAACAUCUAACCUAAAUCUCCCCUCUUUUAGUUUAAAUUCCGUGUAGAAUUUCAAGUGUGUUUGGCACCUGCCAUUCCAAAUACAGACAAAGUUAUAUGAUAGAACUCAGACUUUGUAAAUCGUAAUGGAUUUUGAUCACAGGAUAUGAUGCUACUUGGUCACAACAGCCCAGAUCCCUGUAGGACACAUACUUCCAUUGAUUUCACUGGAAGUUAGGGGCCACAGAGAACUCUGUGGUUCUUUUCCUACCAGCUGAAGUCAAUGAAACCACCUUUUGAAAAUGGGGUUCCAGAUAUUACAGUCUAGCAGACAAAGCUGGCUUAUCCCACAUUAAAUGUCACCUCUGAGAACGGAAUUUAAGUGAUGAUGGCGUAGUGGAAGUCUAAGACAGAGCCAAGGCCAGAGUGUAAAUUAUCUGAUGCCCAGCCCAAUGCAUGAACCACAGUGCUGAUGUUUGAUUACUGUGAGGUUGGAUACUGACUCUAUAAACAACAACUGCAGUUUUCAAAACUUACCCGCAGCAAAUGCAGAACCCUGCCUUGACAUGGUUUUCUGAUGGUAGAACUCUGCUUGCUGAAGUCUAUUUACACCUCAAAUUUUCCAAAAACAAGACUUCAAUUCCUCAUUGCUGUGAAGCAAGCAUUACUUUUAACAAAUUACUUAAUUGCUUUUCUAGCCAUUUCUUUUCCUGCAUUUCUUAAUUGAGUUUGUAUAGAAUAUUUCUACAUGAAUGAGUGCCUGAGGCAAGAUGAGGUCUGAGCAGAAACCUGUAUCUUGGUUUCCUAGUCAGUGGGAUGCAGGAGAGCCUACUGUGCUUCUGUUUAGGGAUAAGAACUUGGUUAAAGGCAUGCAACCCAACUCAUGUUUCCUUGUGCUUGCUUACAAGGAGAAUAUCAAGGUCUCAGACUGGAUAAUGAUGCAGAAAUGCACACUGACAGCGGUCCCAAUAGCCGGGCUCAUGGAAAGAAAGUCUCAGAUGUGAAUGAAGGAUGUGAGGCUGCAGCCAAAUUGAUUAGAAGCAAAGAACUCUCAGACAUCUGAAGUGUGCAAAGCAUAAAGCUGUCCUCUAAUUUCCCAGUUUUGGCAGUUUUGUUGCCACUUGAAGGUAAAGCUGGUAUUAAUCACUGGGGGGAAAAUGCAACCCUGCUCUCUUUGAUCUUUCCUCCUUUAAUCAACAGUUUCUAAGUGCAAUAAGACAUUUCAGAUGUUGCCAAUGUAUUUUUAUCUGGCAAUUGUUCAAUGCGUAUCCUAAAAUGGAGAGGUGCAUCUGCUGAAACACAGCAUGGUGCUUCUGGAGGAGGAAACCAUCUCCUUUCUGGCUUUGCACUGUUCAUUGGUCUGACAGCCUUGGAUAUCCAUGGAAAUGUAACUGUUCCUAAGAUGAAUCCUACACGUUGCACAGUUGCUCUGCUUCCUGUAACUCAUCUAAAUAUUGGUGACUAAUUAUUCUUGAGGAAACAUCCUUUCUCUGUGGAGUUAGCUUUGCAAGCAAAAGGACAUUAGAAGCAGCACCCUGACCAGGUCACUAGCCAGCCAGGAGAGAGCAGGGAUUGCAGGCAGGAGGUGGCAGCCUCGAGUAGCAGCACACUGCUUUCUCUGCUCAGCUAUGCUCAGACCUGAAUGCUAACAGGAGCAGGGUACAAACAGCUUGGGGUCUGGGUCCUUGCUUUAAGCACUGCAGCUUGAAGAUGGAAACCUAACUUUGUCCCUCGUGCCCACUAAUUAAAAACGUAGCUAAGCUGCUCUAUAGGUGCAGUGUUGGAGUUGUAUGGGUUUGCUCAGAAUUUUUAAUAUUUUGUUCAAUAUCUUCAGAGGGAAAGAAUGUAGCACUCUUUAUUUGAUCUGUCCCGUUCUCAUCUAGGUUUAUUUCUUCUUGCAAGGAAAAUUAUGUUGCAGACAAGAAUAAGUCCCCUCGAAAUACUGUAUUGUUUUGUUUGUGUGUCUAAUUCUUGAGCCCCAUCCUGCAAAGCUGAUGGUCCUCCAUGGCCUGGCUAUAGUCCACAAGGGGAUUUAUAAGGGAAUUUUGCCUCCCUCAUGAGCUACAACGAAGUAACGGCAAAUGAACCUACUUAGAUUAAAGAUGUCACUGACUGAAAUGUUCUAAUCAACAGAACCUUGCAAUUAUCCUCUCUCAGCAGAGAGGGGAACUUGAUGACAUCAUUGUUUUUUCCCUGUGAAAACGCUUAGUUGGAAAAAGACAAAAAAAGAUUCAAUGAAUCACAUGCAACAUCCCACUUGGAAUCUUUGAAUAAUCCCAAAGAGUGCCAUUCACUGCAACAAUCAAAAUGUAAGCCAAGAGAGUUCUGCAGCAUUGCUUUUUGCCCACUGGGUGAGUAUUCGUGGUAGGAAUUUUCCUCGUUCAUUUUAUUGUAAAAUCUGUGUAUCCCUGACUGUUUUUUCCUGGAGUCCCACAUUUUCAUCUUCUGGACCAAAUCUUAGUUUACUUUUUUUUUUCCUUUCUUCCUUCUGAUGCACAUGAAAACUCUUUCUUUAAAAGCUGACAUGUAGCAAAUGUUACAUCUGACAUCCUGCAAAUGGAAUCCUUCGGUUAAACUGUGUGUGCACAAAUCUGUUCCCCACAGAGCCAAUGGUCUACCUGGAUGGAUAUGAACGCAAGACUGGGUUUUCUGUAACAGUCCAAUCCUGUUAGACACAGAAGACAUUGUCCUGAAUGGUUUUGUUUAAUCUUUUCAUUAAGCAAACAUUUUCCUAAGUUUGCAUAAGCAGUCACCCAGCUGCGACUUCCACACAGCCUCAGUAACUCGGAGGGUGUGGUGAUUAAAUUUCCUCGGAGACUUUCCUUCCAUCUGACUACCAAAGAGUAAUUCAUUCCUCAGCCAACAUCGUUUGUUUGCUUUGUUUCUUCAGCCUUCAUCUGCAGAAGAUACAUCGGUGAGGUAAUAGUGGUCUUUCUAAUGCAAAAGAGUGAGGGACGAUUUGUUGAGCCACAUUCCCUGAAGAAAGAAGGCUUAUGUGCACAGAUUCUGUCUGGCCCAACAGCCAGCACUAGAACAUGGAAUCCCAUUGGGCAAUUCACUUCAGUAUGAAAAAGAGAAGACUCCAGUUUUCUGUCAGGACUGUCAGCUGAAGGGCUGAGCCUAACAGCUGUUCUGUUCAGAAUUUGUUCCUGGGAGACCUAUUUUGCAAGCUUGUCUGCUGAAACUUCUGUAGAGAAGAAAGCAGACGGAGCCUUUUCAGAUUGCAGCUUCCCAGUUGCUGUGUUGAAAGCAUGAAGCAAAAGUGAAACCGAGGUAUUACAGUUCUUAGUUCUCAUAAACGGCUUUUCCUUGCUUUGCUCUGCAGCAAAUUCCAGCUGAGCUAACAUUUCUGUUAGCAUGACAAUGCCCAUACGUGCACUGCUGUAAUGAGAGGGAGCAUCUGUGUCUGAGCUGGUUGUGAUUGUGUUGAAAAGAGACAGAUUGUCAUCGUGUGUCAGUCCUUACUCUUCCACUGAACAUGAAACUUCCUUGGUCGUGCUGUUGGUUCAGUCUCCAGUCUCCAUUUUCAUAUCA